CUGAAGAAAAUAUGGCUGAACAUUGAUGAAUGAGGAUAUUUGUUAUCAACUUUACCAGUAUAUAUGAAUAAAAACACUAACCGUAAGUAAAAUGCACUCAAUCCAAAUAAUUUUACAAAAUGAAAAAUCUGUAUCGUUAGGUCGAAGAAUUCAAUUCUGGCAUGAAAACUCGAUCGACUUUGUUGCAUUAUUUAUGCCAUAUAAAAAAAUCUUCGUCAAUGAAGAAACAUAAAAUAUGAUCUUCUCGUCUGUGAAGUUGAAAGAACACUUAACGCUAUAUAGCUUUUGAUAUUAAAUUGGACAUACUUUUAAUGAACUGGCACCCAAUCAUCAGCUAAUAAACUCGUUUGAAGAACAGAAUAAAAUGUUGGGAGAGUGGCUAAAUUUUACCCGAGAAGCUGCUCCAUGUGGAAUUAAAGAUAUUUUACAAAAGACAAAUUUGGACUCUAUAGGGAUAAAUUUUGGAUUUCCUGGACUGCAAAUAAUGCAAAUUGGGAUUUAAAUUUAGGAUUUCCUAUUUGGGAAAUUGGGGUGCAAAUGACAAUGCCAAAUUGACAAAUACAUGAUGCUUCACAAUACAUUACAUUUAAACGAACUUCAGUAUAGGGUAUAACAUUGAUAUUACAAUGUAUGUUAUAUUAUAUUAAGACUCUGUUUACUUACCAAUCUCCGAAUUUCUCAAAACUCAAUUUAGAUUUCAUGGAUAAAAAAAAUAAAACAAUCAUAAAUUAUUAUAAUUGAAAAAUAAUAUAGGUAACGUAACACACACAUUACUAAAUUUGUUAUGCAAUUUGCUUUUUUAUAUAUAUGUCACCAUGGUCAUGUAUGUAUUAAUUUACAAUAUUCUGGAUGGGAGCAUUUCCAUUUCGAUAUUACUAUAUUUUAUUGAAUUAUUAUCCAGUCAAUUUAUAGUCUAUACAAUAAUAAUAAUUACCCCCCCCCCCCCCAAAAAAAAAAAAGUAAAAUCUUUAUAAUUUUGGUCCAAUUAUUCUGUAUUCUAUUUACCCUUUAAGAACCACAUUUAGGCCAAAUAAAUAAAUAUGUGUGUUUCCUAUUUCCCUCUGUACUAAACCCUAUAUGUUUUAAGCUUGGAAAUAGCUGCCUACCUUAAAGUUUUUUUUUGUAAUUUUUCAAUAAGCACUGUUUAAGUCAGAAUAUCUCUCCCUUAGACUCAAUGUAAAAAAAAAAUGUUGAAUUACAUAAAUUCCCUACCUACCUACCAUUUAUUUUCAAAGAUGUAAUAGGAAACACACACAGUAUUUUAUUUGGCCUUAGCCCUUAUAUAUACAAUGUACAUGUACUCUUAAUAAACCUUUUAUUCCUGCAAUAAAAAACACUUUUGACUAUAAUUCUAAGACGCCAGUAAUCAAUUCUAAUGUUUUUAUUUUUAUCUUACAGAUGGUGACAAAAAAGAUAACAGCACAGUGUUAAGAUUGAAUCAGAAUGAAUAAAACAAAAAGAUUAUAAUAGGUAUUGGUUUUUUUUUUAAAUAUUUUUAUUUGCAUGGAUUAAUUACUUUAUCAAUUUAUAAAAAAAAUACUAUUUAAUUAUCCUGCCUUGCAUGGAAUAAAAUGACAACUUACAUUGUUCUAAAAAAAAAAUGUUUGUAAAUAAUGAGUAAAAUUAAUGCUCAAUAACAAUGUUUAAAAUGUUAACAUGAAAACUGAUUUUGAUUUGAAGCCAUAUUUUAUGAAAUUGAUUAAUGUAGACAAAUCUUUUUUAUAGUUACAAAUGUAGGUGACACUUAAACACUCAAUAUCUUUCUUUAAUUAGUAUAGUAGGAUGAUACAGAUUGAUGCCUGUGAAAGAAUUAUAAAAAAGGUUGCAUUCAGUUUUUUAUUGUCAAUAAUACUUCCCUCCCCCUAUUUUUCAAACUUUUUAUAUGUUAAAUAAUGCAGGUCCUUGCAUUUCAACAAUUUAUUUUUAGUUAUACUCAUUUUAUUAUUUCAUUAUUACUUUCAGCUCCCUCAACCAGAAGAACUAUGAACACAGUUAUUGAUUUCUAUGUUUCCUUGGAGAUUUUAACAGUUAUUGUUAAAACUUGAAAUCUAACAGAAUGAAAAUUUGAGAAAAUUUACAUAUACAGUGUACAUGUACAUGUAGCUUCAAUAUAAAUCAACUGAUACACCGUAAGUAUGUCUUCUAUAUAUGAAAGUUAUAAAUUGGUUUGUUUACAAAAUUUAUUUUUUACUAGAUAUAUUUGAGUAAAUACCGGACCAAAUUAUAUAUUAAAGCAAAUACUCACAAACGUUUUUUUUUUUUAAAUUACUAAUAUUUCCUAUAUGGUGAUAUAAAUUAUAUGAUCAAAUUGUGGAUACAACUACAUGGUUUAUGCUAUAAACUGUGAAUAUAAAAAAAGAGUAUGUUGUAUGAUUGCCAAUGAGAAAACUCUUCCAACAAGAGACCAAAUGACAGAAGUUAACAACUGUAGCCUAUAGUAGGUCAUAGUACAGUCUUAAACAAUGAGUAAAGCCCAUACCACUCAGAGAGCUAUAAAAUACACUGAAAUGACAAAUGUGAAACAAUUAAAACUAGAAAUUUGGCCUAAUUUAUCAUACAUGUAUGUACAAAAUAAUGAACGAAAAACAAAUAUGUGACACAUCAAACAACAACCACUGAAUUAAAGGCUCCUGAUUUGGGACAGACACAGACAUACAUAAUGUAUCGGGUUAAACAUGUUCGCUGGGACCCAACCCUCCCCUUACCUGGGACAGUGGUGUAAGAGUACAAAAUACAAAAUAAAAACAAAACUUAAAUCUUAAAUAAAAAUCAUCAGAUAAAUAAAGAAAAAAAAGACAUUAACUUAAUACAUCUAUUAUUUACUCUACUCAACUGCCUAAAUCUGAUAAACUUUUGAAAGAGAAAAAAUUACUAAAGGGUUCAAAUUGUUCAAAGGUUCAAAGGAGAAGGGCAUUAAAGGACUAUUUUUUGUCCAAGAAUAUAAACUAUUCCAAAAAGCCCCAUUAUGUUUGGAAUUGCAUAAAUUUAAGAAACAUGAAUUAAAAACAUAAUAUUUUUUAUACGACCGCAAAAAUUAAAAAAUUUUUGGUCGUAUAUUGGUAUCACGUUGGCGUCUGCGUCGUCGUCGUCGUCCGAAUACUUUUAGUUUUCGCACUCUAACUUUAGUAAAAGUGAAUAGAAAUCUAUGAAAUUUUAACACAAGGUUUAUGAUCACAAAAGGAAGGUUGGGAUUGAUUUUGGGAGUUUUGGUCCCAACAUUUUAGGAAUUAGGGGCCAAAAAGGGCCCAAAUAAGCAUUUUCUUGGUUUUCGCACUAUAACUUUAGUUUAAGUAAAUAGAAAUCUAUGAAAUUUUGACACAAGGUUUAUGACCACAAAAGGAAGGUUGGGAUUGAUUUUGGGAGUUUUGGUUCCAACAGUUUAGGAAUUAGGGGCCAAAAAAGAGCCCAAAUAAGCAUUAUUCUUGGUUUUCGCACAAUAACUUUAGUAUAAGUAAAUAGAAAUCUAUGAAAUUUAAACACAAGGUUUAUGACCAUAAAAGGAAGGUUGGGUUUGAUUUUGGGAGUUUUGGUCCCAACAGUUUAGGAAUAAGGGGCCCAAAGGGUUCAAAAUUAAACUUUUUGUUUUGAUUUCAUUAACAAAAAUUGAAUCCUUGGGGUUCUUUGAUAUGCUGAAUCUAAAAAUGUACAGUAUUCAGCAAUAGCAAGAAAUCUUCAAUUGCACAGUAUUGUGCAAUAGCAAGAAAUUUUCAAUUGCACAGUAUUGCGCAAUAGCAAGAAAUCUUCAAUUGCACAGUAUUGUGCAAUAGCAAAUAUUUUCAAUUGCACAGUAUUGCGCAAUAGCAAGAAAUAUCUAAUUGCAAUUUCAAUUGGAGUUAUCUUUCUUUGUCCAGAAUAGUAGUUGAAUCAACUUAAAUCAUUGUUUUAUACAAUAUAUAUAAUUGAUAUUUCAAUUGGAGUUAUCUUUCUUUGUCCAGAAUAGUAGUUGAAUCAACUUAAAUCAUUGUUUUAUACAAUAUACAAUGUAUAUUCACUUUUACUACCAACUGAUAAAUUAAAACAAUCUUUACCAUUCAGUGAUAACAAGCACUUUAUUUUACAUUUUAAUAUUUUAUGAUGUAUUUAAAUGAGUAGUUAUUGUUGCAAACUCCAUUAUUAGAAAUUUGAAUUGAGAUCAGUUUUGGAAAAAGGGAAAGGGGGAUGUGAAAAAAAAAAUGGGGGGGGGGUUAAAUUUUUCUCAUUUCAGAUUUCAUAAAUAAAAAGAAAAUUUCUUCAAACAUUUUUUUGAGAGGAUUAAUAUUCAACAGCAUAGUGAAUUGCUCAAAGGCAAAAAAAAUAUUUUAAGUUCAUUAGACCACAUUCAUUCUGUGUCAGAAACCUAUGCUGUGUCAACUAUCUAAUCACAAUCCAAAUUUAGAGCUGAAUCCAGCUUGAAUGUUGUGUCCAUACUUGCCCCAACCGUUCAGGGUUCAACCUCUGCGGUCGUAUAAAGCUGCGCCCUGCGGAGCAUCUGGUUGUCUGAUAAGGUCACAAUUACAUCAUGAAGACGAGGACAAAUAUAGAAUUUAUGCAGUUUCCAAAACAACAAAAUAAUUUAAGAAAACCUUUAUUAUAACUAUUGACAUAAUCUCACUAAAUAUAAUUUUUUUCUUGGAUGGGCACAUUACAGUCUAAAAUAUAAUUUUAUUUGACAAAAAACAAAGAAAAUUAAGAAAUUUUACAAAUUUGGUCUAAGUUUAUUGCCAUGGUAACUCUUUAGUUGUAAAAAAAAACCCAUUAUUUUCUGAAUAUGGUGUACCUUAGUCUAGUUUGGACAAAUUUUGAAAUAUUUAGGAUAACUGUUAAAUUAGCAGUAAUAUCUGGGCCAAAUAAAAACCUUUUUUAGUUAGCCCCUACUACUUUGAGAUAUUGAACAAAGUGUUGCCAUAAUGAUUUUAAAGGAUGGAUGGACAAACAAUGGCAUACCAUAUACAUCCCUUACCUACCAGAAGUUACAAAGUUAUAAAAAAAAUGUUUAUAUAUUUUCAGAUCACAAUUAUGUCAACCUAAUCAUUGGAAGUUUAUCAAGUUACAUGAGAAGCAUUGAAAGCCUGCAGAGAUUCUACAUGUAUAAAUAAAUGGAAUAGACUCACACUUAAAAAUAACUUUUACACAAGACUAAUGCACUCUCAAACAAGGAUUAUUCAUGUUUCAAUGAGUGAAUUGAAGUGCAUACUAGCU
rnacentral:lncRNA from 1 species